rnacentral:lncRNA from 1 species
AUGUGGAGAACCUGGGACCCUCCCGUCCUGUUCGUGGGAGCGGAAAACGGUGCGCCUGCUGCGGAUCCUCAGAAAUCAGAAGGUCCAGGUGGUCCAGUAUCUCCUUCAAAGCCCCGGCCAGAUUCCACUAGGAUCAUGGUCCUCCCAGACUGUGAGCACGUCUUCCGGAUCCAGCACCCAGCAGAGCCACCAGCACACGGGAAGGACCAAACACAUAGCAGGACGAUGACACUUGCAUUUCCGAUCUGUCCGCCUGCUUCCCACAACGCGAGGCCCUCCCUCCUCCUCCGUUCACCCACCUCCCAUCCAUCUAUUGACUCAUCCAGCAGGGUGGACACCCAUCACAGGCCGGACACCCUUCUAGGCAGAGGCCUCAGACCUGGAGAGCUGAACCCAGCGUCCGGAGAGACAAAAGCUGCCUGCAUGGCACACCCCAGGGAGUAAGGAAGGCGAUGAAUAGAAACAGCAAAGAGGAAGCCGGCAGAAAUGAUUUCCUUCCCCGAGGGCAGGGCAAUGCUUCCUGCACAGUAUCUAGAAAAGUCCUCUUGGAAAAGGUGACACUUGAUCAUUUUAAAAGUAGUAUGUAUCUGCGUUAGCAUUUCAGGAAGUACCGAAGAUCAUGUGGCUCCACAACCAUCACUCAGAAAUCACGCCACCCCAACCACACCUCGGCUUUUGCCUUCAUGUCUGAAUGGACAGCUUUGUAUUGUGCUUUUAAAAUUUAACAUGACACCAGUCAUUUUGUAGCUCUGUUUGUUUUUCCCAUUUCCUCUGUGUCGAUAUAUAAUAUGUAUUUUUUUAAAAACUGGUACCGUAAAUAUAUAUGAGCGGUUUCCACCUUUACCAAGGAAGUACGUAUGAUUGUACAGAUUCUCAGAUGAUCCAGAUGAGGAAGAAAAUAAAAAGAAUUUAUAAUGCUGACCAUUUAACACAUUGGUCCAUAUCCUGCCUAUAUUCUUUUCCUUCCCUAUGAAUGUGGAACAUACACAGAGUAUGUUACGGGUUGUGUCUGGCUUUUUCCUGAUGAUGUCUGAAAGCCAGGAGGAGGUGGUGGGAUUCCGGUGAUAGAAGUGAACGUCGUGCAAAGUCCAGGAUGGGGCAUCCGGACCUUUGUGCUUGGCUUUCGGCCAUUGACUGAUUUUGCCAAGUCCUAUGACCUCUGAUUCCGGGUUCCCCGUGUGCAAAAGGAAGUCCAAGACCCUUCCUGGAUGUUAAGCCUGGAAUAAACACCAGAGAGCAGAGGGUGGCCAUGAAAGGCCCCGGGAGGAAGGAUGCCUGCCUGUAACGGUCCCUCUACGAAUGGGAAGAUUUUACCGGGUGAAGGCCCCCAGUACCCGGGGAUGGGUUAGCAUGAAGCUCCUCCAGGAACACGUCUGUUAACUUUUCGCCUCACAUUUUCUUCAUCCGACCUCUUAACAUCCUCCAGAGUUGGCUCUGUUCUGCCCAGAGAGGUCAGGAAAACCUGGCCAAGUCCCCUAGCUCCAGUGGGGAGCACCCAGGGGAUUCGCACCCGGAUCCACGGAGCCCACGGCCACGAACUUAACCACCAGUGGCAGAAGACAAACUCCCCCAACAUCUCCAAGUAUGAAGGGCAAGGUGCCCGGGGUGUCCUGGGGAACAGAAAUUCUGUUUUUGGUGAAACUGCUCAAGUUGACAUGAGAGGGUGAAUCUGCUGGAUGAACCCCAAUGCUGACGUCUUGCUGAGUUGACAUCGGCCCCUGGAAACAGGAUUCGGUGCCAACAAGACGUGAGCCUGAGUGACCCCCCCAGCUCUGCUCUGGCCUCCGCCCCUUACACACCAGGUGCAUGGGGUUCUGAGAAGCCCUGACCUACAUGGAGAGGCAUGCAUUUCUGACCAGCCUGGGUGUAUCUAUUGUUAAAAAAAAACUUUAGAAAUGGAGUAGUAACACCUUUUACUGAAAAAGUCACACUUUCGGAAUAUAAAAAUUAAAAUAGUGAAAAGAGUUGUGUGCCUGAGUCCCCAUCCCUCUCGCCCCAGCCCCCCAGCUCCGAGUCCCCCUCCCCAGAAAAAACUAUGGAGCAUGGCCUGUGUACCCUUCCAAACCCUGUGUGUGCAUGGAAUCUGUUUAUGGAUCUGUACUGUGCACACCCAUCUGCACUCCUCCUUUUCAAAUGAUGCACGCCUGUGGCCUCUUGAAAUCUGCUCCUUGGGGCAGCCCGGGUGGCGCAGCGGUUUAGCACCUCCUACAGCCGAGGGUGUGAUCCUGGAGACCUGGGAUCAAGUCCUGCGUCGGGCUCCCUGCAUGGAGCCCGCUUCUCCCUCUGCCUGUGUCUCUGCCUCUAGCUCUCUCUGCGUCUCUCAUGAAUAAAUAAAUAAAAUCUUAAAAAAAAAAUCUGCUCCUUGGAGCGACCCCAACCUUUUCAUAGCUGCGAGGUGCUCCAGUGCUUGGCUAGGCCCUGGUGUGUUAACCAGCCCCCCGCCGACGGGGCGUUUUGGCCUUCCCAGUGUUGUGUUCUUGCAGAGGCUGCUGCAGUGAACGGCUGCCUCAAUCACAAUCACGUCCAAAGAUGCCUGUCUGUAGGGUAGUUCCUAAAAGCAGAGCAGAAUUCAUUACUGCUCUGAAGGUCCUAGCAAACGGAACAGAAGAUAAGAAACAGAAAUAAGAGCUACACAGAUCAGAGAGGACAAGACACAUCUGUCAUUAUUUGCAGACAAUAGAAUCUUCCACCUAGACUCUCCAGCAGAACCAGCCGACAGAUGACUAGAACCAAUGGACAAUUCAGCAGGCCGGACGGACGCUCAGCAUAAAAAGCCAGUUGUCUUCCCAGGCCCCAGCAGUAAGCAAUUAAAAAAAAAAUGUAAUGGAAAACAAAACAAAACAAAAAGAGGGGAACUUUCAGGGUGAGGGGGACAGAGUGUCCUCUAGAGCAGGCUUCUCAGGCUGUGGGCUCCACCAGCAUUGCCUGGGGAGCCUUAAACACAGGCUGCUGGGCCCCGCUCCCAGCUUCCCACCAGCAGGCCCAGGGUGGUGCCCGGGAAUCUGCAUGUGGAUGAGCUCUGGGGGCUGCUGCUGCC